rnacentral:rRNA from 1 species
UAGGGAAUCUUCCACAAUGGACGCAAGUCUGAUGGAGCAACGCCGCGUGAGUGAAGAAGGUUUUCGGACCGUAAAGCUCUGUUGUUGGUGAAGAAGGAUAGAGGUAGUAACUGGCCUUUAUUUGACGGUAAUCAACCAGAAAGUCACGGCUAACUACGUGCCAGCAGCCGCGGUAAUACGUAGGUGGCAAGCGUUGUCCGGAUUUAUUGGGCGUAAAGCGAGCGCAGGCGGAAGAAUAAGUCUGAUGUGAAAGCCCUCGGCUUAACCGAGGAAUUGCAUCGGAAACUGUUUUUCUUGAGUGCAGAAGAGGAGAGUAGAACUCCAUGUGUAGCGGUGGAAUGCGUAGAUAUAUGGAAGAAUACCAGUGGCGAAGGCGGCUCUCUGGUCUGCAACUGACGCUGAGGCUCGAAAGCAUGGGUAGCGAACAGGAUUAGAUACCCUGGUAGUCCAUGCCGUAAACGAUGAGUGCUAAGUGUUGGGAGGCUUCCGCCUCUCAGUGCUGCAGCUAACGCAUUAAGCACUCCGCCUGGGGGAGUACGACCGCAAGG